GCCAGGCACGGUGGCACGUGCCUGUAGUCCCAGCUACUAGGGGCGUGGGAGGCCUGAGAUGGGAGGAUCGCUUGAGGCCAGGACUUCUGGGCUGUAGUGCACCAUGCCAAUAGAGUGUCCACACUAAGUUCAGCAUCCAUGUGACCUCCCAGCAGUGGGGGACCACCACAUUGCCUAAGGAUGAGUGAAACCACCCGGGCCGGGAAUUGAGCAGGUUCAAACUCCCAUGCUGAUCAGUAAUGGGAUCACGCCUGUGAAUAGCCACUGCACUCCAGCUUGGGCAACAUAGUGAGACCCCGUCU
rnacentral:SRP_RNA from 10 species